rnacentral:lncRNA from 1 species
UCCUCUCAGUUAUUUCCAAGGUAAAGAUAACAUCUUCUUGUACCUAAUAUAUGGUGGUGGUUCAAUAACAAAAUUUGUCACUAGCUAGUUGUUUAUACAUAUGCAUUUAUAUACUCGUUGAGGGGAUGAAUAGUUGUUUCCCUCUCCAGGAAUUCUUUCCUACAUUUUUUCUUCAACAUUACUUUGAAGCUCGUAUUCUCUUAUUCAUUUAUGAUAAACUCAUGGAUUUAUUUCCUGAAUUUUCUUGAAGCUAAAACAUCAUCAAAG